rnacentral:misc_RNA from 1 species
GACUUCACAUGCACGCACCCACUAUGCGAUUCUCGAUCAGCAACCGAGCGGAUCC